AACGUAGGACACAAGCGUUAUCCGGAGUUACUGGGCGCAAAGGGCGUGUAGGCGGAGAUGUAAGUCUAUUCUGAAAGCUCCUGGCUAAACUGGGAGAGGCGAAUGGAGACUGCAUAUCUAGAGUGAGGAAGAGGAAAGUGGAAUUCCGCGUGUAGCAGUGAAAUGCGUAGAGAUGCGGAGGAACACCGAUGGCGAAGGCAGCCCCCUGGGCUGACACUGACGCUGAGGCACGAAAGCGUGAGGAUCAAACAGG
rnacentral:rRNA from 1 species